UACGGAGGAUCCAAGCGUUAUCCGGAAUCAUUGGGUUUAAAGGGUCCGUAGGCGGUUUGGUAAGUCAGUGGUGAAAGCCCAUCGCUCAACGGUGGAACGGCCAUUGAUACUGCCAGACUUGAAUUAUUAGGAAGUAACUAGAAUAUGUAGUGUAGCGGUGAAAUGCUUAGAGAUUACAUGGAAUACCAAUUGCGAAGGCAGGUUACUACUAAUGGGAUUGACGCUGAUGGACGAAAGCGUGGGUAGCGAACAGG
rnacentral:rRNA from 1 species